GAUGAACGCUAGCGGCAGGCCUAACACAUGCAAGUCGAGGGGUAACAUGGAGUGCUUGCACUUUGAUGACGACCGGCGCACGGGUGCGCAACGCGUAUACAAUCUGCCCUUUACCGGGGGAUAGCCCAGAGAAAUUUGGAUUAACACCCCAUGGUCUAUAUUUAUGGCAUCAUAAAGAUAGUAAAGGUUACGGUAAAGGAUGAGUAUGCGUCUUAUUAGCUAGAUGGUAAGGUAACGGCUUACCAUGGCUACGAUAAGUAGGGGCCCUGAGAGGGGGAUCCCCCACACUGGUACUGAGACACGGACCAG
rnacentral:rRNA from 1 species